rnacentral:rRNA from 1 species
GAUGAACGCUGGCGGCGUGCCUAAUACAUGCAAGUCGAGCGAACAGAUGAGGAGCUUGCUCCUCUGACGUUAGCGGCGGACGGGUGAGUAACACGUGGAUAACCUACCUAUAAGACUGGGAUAACUUCGGGAAACCGGAGCUAAUACCGGAUAAUAUAUUGAACCGCAUGGUUCAAUAGUGAAAGACGGUUUUGCUGUCACUUAUAGAUGGAUCCGCGCCGCAUUAGCUAGUUGGUAAGGUAACGGCUUACCAAGGCAACGAUGCGUAGCCGACCUGAGAGGGUGAUCGGCCACACUGGAACUGAGACACGGUCCAGACUCCUACGGGAGGCAGCAGUAGGGAAUCUUCCGCAAUGGGCGAAAGCUUGACGGAGCAACGCCGCGUGAGUGAUGAAGGUCUUCGGAUCGUAAAACUCUGUUAUUAGGGAAGUACAAAUGUGUAAGUAACUAUGCACGUCUUGACGGUACCUAAUCAGAAAGCCACGGCUAACUACGUG